CCUACGGGAGGCAGCAGUGGGGAAUAUUGGGCAAUGGGCGCAAGCCUGACCCAGCAACGCCGCGUGAAGGAAGAAGGCUCUCGGGUUGUAAACUUCUUUUGUCAGGGACGAAGCAAGUGACGGUACCUGAUGAAUAAGCCACGGCUAACUACGUGCCAGCAGCCGCGGUAAUACGUAGGUGGCAAGCGUUAUCCGGAUUUACUGGGUGUAAAGGGAGUGUAGGCGGGACUGCAAGUCAGAGGUGAAAUCCACGGGCUCAACCUGUGGCCUGCAUUUGAAACUGUAGUUCUUGAGUACUGGAGAGGCAGACGGAAUGCGUGGUGUAGCGGUGAAAUGCGUAGAUAUUAGGAGGAACACCAGUGGCGAAGGCGGUCUGCUGGACAGCAACUGACGCUGAGGCGCGAAGGCGUGGGGAGCAAACAGGAUUAGAUACCCCUGUAGUC
rnacentral:rRNA from 1 species